AGCGGCGGACGGGUGAGUAACACGUAGGUAACCUGCCCAUAAGACUGGGAUAACAUUCGGAAACGAAUGCUAAUACCGGAUACGCAAAUGGAUCGCAUGAUUCGUUUGGGAAAGGCGGAGCAAUCUGUCACUUAUGGAUGGACCUGCGGUGCAUUAGCUAGUUGGAGAGGUAACGGCUCCCCAAGGCGACGAUGCAUAGCCGACCUGAGAGGGUGAUCGGCCACACUGGGACUGAGACACGGCCCAG
rnacentral:rRNA from 1 species